GUGAGGUAACGGCUCACCAAGGCUACGACGGGUAGCUGGUCUGAGAGGAUGUCCAGCCACACUGGGACUGAGACACGGCCCAGACUCCUACGGGAGGCAGCAGUGGGGAAUCUUGCACAAUGGGCGAAAGCCUGAUGCAGCGACGCCGCGUGCGGGAUGACGACCUUCGGGUUGUAAACCGCUUUCAGCAGGGACGAUAGUGACGGUACCUGCAGAAGAAGCGCCGGCUAACUACGUGCCAGCAGCCGCGGUAAUACGUAGGGCGCAAGCGUUAUCCGGAAUUAUUGGGCGUAAAGAGCUCGUAGGCGGUUUGUCGCGUCUGCCGUGAAAGUCCGGGGCUCAACUCCGGAUCUGCGGUGGGUACGGGCAGACUAGAGUGAUGUAGGGGAGACUGGAAUUCCUGGUGUAGCGGUGAAAUGCGCAGAUAUCAGGAGGAACACCGAUGGCGAAGGCAGGUCUCUGGGCAUUAACUGACGCUGAGGAGCGAAAGCAUGGGGAGCGAACAGGAUUAGAUACCCUGGUAGUCCAUGCCGUAAACGUUGGGCACUAGGUGUGGGGGACAUUCCACGUUCUCCGUACCGUAGCUAACGCAUUAAGUG
rnacentral:rRNA from 1 species